UACGAAGGGGGCCAGCGUUGUUCGGAAUUACUGGGCGUAAAGCGCGCGCAGGCGGUUCGAUAAGUUGGGGGUAAAAUCCCCGGGCUCAACCCGGGAAUGGCCUUCAAGACUGUCGAGCUAGAGGACGAGAGAGGUGAGUGGAAUUUCCGGUGUAGCGGUGAAAUGCGUAGAUAUCGGAAGGAACACCUGUGGCGAAAGCGGCUCACUGGACCAUUACUGACGCUGAUGCACGAAAGCUAGGGGAGCAAACAGG
rnacentral:rRNA from 1 species